GGUGAGACUGCGGUGCGUCAGGUAAUUUCCCCAGGGAGCGCGCGGAUUGGUGGAGGCAACUUUCACUCCUAUAUAGAGGCGGCAUAGGUGCCGUCGUUUCCUCCUUCCUUCCGGGCUGCCUGGGGUUGUUUUGGUGGCGUGGGCACGAGUUUGCCACUGGAGCCACGUUUUAUGCGGUUGACUGGACUGGUGAUGCGCGUUCCCAGUUGAUGGCCGUCUGACAACGGUGCGCCGAAUGGUCAUCUGAGCGCUGUGCAAGUGGUGCUGCUGUGUUCUGGUUACUUACUAGGUGGCUUCCCACCCAUCUAUUGGUGAAGUGGACUCGUGCCUGUUGCCGAGGUUGCUGCUUUGUCCAUCCGUGACUGAUGCCACGGGUUGUUCCGUGUGCUGGCCCAGAGACGCUCCUGCUCCGCCCGCUCGAGCAGGUGCGCUGAAGACGCAAGCGCGCAGUGCAGACUGCUGCGCGUGAACAGUGCUGCGACAGCAUAGGCUAAAGUGUCUAUUCAUUCAUGGAAUUGAACUGGUUAUCCUGCCCUCUCCGAGUUCACAUAGGUGCCUUAUUGUAUGUCUUGCAUUUCCAAUGAUGUGCUCAUUUUCUUUGUGUUUGCUGUGAUUGUAUGAACAUUGCAUGUUGUGCCUCCUUGUCGUAGUGUACUAAAACGAUUUGCUUGCAGUGUCAGACUUGCAUGAUUUAUUUAUCUUGGUUAUUAUUUGUUUUCUUUGGUUUAAUUGGAAUUUGCAUUGCUGCAUAUGUCGCAUAUGGGAUUACAUGGGGACAGGGCCACCUAUUGUA